AUGAGCAACACUAUGAAUGAAGAUGUGGUACAUGUAUACAACAGAACGUCGCUCAUCUGUAAGAGACUCUACAUUUCCCCCAAUGGACUUCCAGAUCCUAACACAGAUGUUUUCUCUUUCCCUCUCUGCUCCUAUAACUUACCUCAAAUCUCUCUUUUCUCUGUCUCUCUAAACACCCACACAAAUUUUCUCCUUUAUUUUGAUGUUCAAUGUGAGCAAUAGAAGGCAGAAUUUCAAAGGAGCCAGUGAAAGAAUGAGGUAAUGCUUUUCUGUCUAAACAAUCAUCACUGCCUUUACAAACUUUGUCCAGUUAAAUCUCAAUGGCAAGGCAGGGAUUGGAGUACCUGAUUCAGCUUGUCCUUUGCUUGUGACCUAAGGGUGUAGUGAAUAUUGUGUUAUUUUUAUACACAACAGUCUACAGCAUCUCUUGGUGGAGAUGCUCCAGUCUCCACCAAGGACUGGGUGCAUCUUUUUCACAGAGUCUAGUCCCUCAGGUGCCACAGUCUUCUGUGGGUGGAAAUUCUGCCUCCUGCUCCUUUGCUCUUCCUGAUCCCCUUGGACAGCUUAAUUGAUGUAGGAGAUAUGUUGCUGAAUGACAUGGAUCACGGGACACCAAGGACUCUUACACUUGUGGAAAGACCUUGUUCACAGUUGCUUAUAAGAUUGAUAAGGUUAGGUACUAUCCUGAGUCUAUCUAGUUGUGUUCUGGGACUUCUUUAUAGCCUUAGGUUAAAGUCAUGGAGCUAGAGGUGCUAAGAAUUAUGGAACUGAGAUGCCUGUUUUGUAAAUUCCUGACUUUAAUGAGGACUUCAGUGCCCAAACCAAGUGCCACCCCUAGGAAGGUGUUCAUGAUUUAUCUAGGCAGAUACAGUGACUCUCCUUCAUGCUUUGUGCAUCUAUAAUAACACAUAGGCUUACAGAACCAUUUGUUUAUAGAAUCAUGGUCUCUGCCACAGAAGAAACAUANNNNNNNNNNNNNNNNNNNNNNNNNNNNNNNNNNNNNNNGCACUGUUAAUGUUCAGUUAAUGUUCACUGAAGAAUAAUUUUGAGUGACUGGGGUUUCAGAGAAGCAGCAUAAAGAUGCAAGGGACUCAAGUUCUACCAGGCAAGGUGUGGUGAUUCAGGAGGAAGUAAUGCUUUUAUUGUCUGAUCACCUCCUCCAUGGACUUGUAUUACAUGGAAAAUUCUAACUACACAGGGAGGUUGUUGCAAAGCAGUUAAUAAAUAGCACAUCAUUCAGACUAAGAGAAAAUAUUUGUAAAUGAUACAACAAACAAGGGCUUAUUUUCCAAAAUAUAUGAAUAGCUCAUUCAACUCAAAUACAAAAAAAGCACAAACAACCCAAUCAAGAAAUGGCAUAAGACCUAAAUAAACAUUCCUCCAAAGAAGACAUACAGAUGGCCAACAGACAUAGGAAAAUAUGCUAUAUAUCAUUAA
rnacentral:lncRNA from 1 species